CCGGGGCUCCAGAGGGAAGGGCGCAGCGCGUGGGUCUGGAGGCUCGGACUGUGCGCGGUUCUGGUCACGCUGUGGCUUUGCCCGCCGCUUGUUCUUUCUCCUCAACGCUGCCCGCCUCUGUAGAGCCUCUGGUUGCCCCACAAAAGGCAGAAACCAUGGGAUAUUGGCAUCUAUAUCGCCACAGGACCUAGCACAUUGCCUGAGACUUGGGAUCCUCCUUCUCCUCAGCUUCGAGGACACAGUAUUUCUCACGUACCCAUUGAGCCCAUUCAAGAAGAACAACUUGAAAGAGAGAAGCCCACGAUCAGGACUCUCACCAUGUCUUCUGUACAUGUACAGCACCUACAGAUGCCUUGGCCAUGCAGACUAACUUCAGUAGUAAAUGUGAUGGCAACAGGGGCUGUAUCUUGGCAGGACAACUUGGUGACGGAGGAUGAGGUAACACACUGAAGUCAUGGGGAGCUUCAGGUGGGAUACCUCCUGAAAUACACCAGGAUGCCUUACUACCCACCAAGCCAAGAAUAUGUGUACUGCCUACAAAUGUGUCAAAGUCUAGAAGGACUGAUAGACUUGCCAAGGUUGUGAGGUGAGGUGGAGGCGUGCAAAGUUAAUGGGAAGCAAAAUUGCUGUAAUUUCUCCAAUAGAGAUUCUGGAUAAAAUAAUGAAGCAAUAAAGAAUGUAUGUGCCCUUUAAUUGAGGAAUGCCCAUUUCUAGGGACAUAAUCUAAGGAGUUAAUCAAAUGACAGCUGAACAAGUGUUUACAAACAUGUAUGAAUAGGUGUUCAUUUCAGUCUUGUUUAUACUAAUAGAAAUGAGACACUAUCUGAAUUGGUUGGUAAAUAAAUUAUAUUACAUGCUACAAAACUAUGGAAUCUUCAAAAAGAGGACCUAUAUUUAUUAACAUUUUUUUUGGUAUA